GGAGCACUGUCCUCCAUCAUAUCCUGUCAAGGUUCGCGUCAGUUAUCAGAAGUUGUUGAAAUGUUUUGUAUUGAACGAGUUGCAUCACAGACCCCCCAAGGCCCAGAAGAAGAAGCACCUCUUUCGCUCACUUCAAGCCACAAAAUUUUUCCAAACCACAGAACUUGAUUGGGCAGAGGCUGGUCUUCAAGUUUGUAAGCAGGGAUAUAAUAUGCUGAAUCUCUUGAUCCAUAGGAAGAACCUGAACUAUCUUCAUCUUGAUUACAAUUUUAAUUUGAAGCCUGUUAAGACACUAACUACCAAGGAGCGUAAGAAAUCGCGGUUUGGAAAUGCUUUCCACCUUUGUCGUGAAAUUCUGCGUUUGACAAAGCUUGUUGUUGAUGCCAAUGUCCAGUUUCGUCUGGGAAAUGUUGAUGCGUUUCAGCUGGCAGAUGGCUUGCAAUACAUUUUCUCGCAUGUUGGUCAGUUGACGGGUAUGUAUCGUUACAAGUACAGGCUUAUGAGGCAGAUUCGGAUGUGCAAGGAUCUGAAACAUUUGAUCUAUUAUCGAUUUAAUACCGGGCCAGUUGGAAAAGGUCCUGGUUGUGGUUUCUGGGCACCUAUGUGGAGGGUGUGGUUAUUCUUUCUUCGGGGUAUAGUACCUCUUUUGGAACGUUGGUUAGGAAAUCUACUGGCAAGGCAAUUUGAGGGUCGCCAUUCAAAGGGGGUGGCCAAGACUGUCACAAAGCAACGUGUUGAAAGCCAUUUCGAUUUGGAACUCCGUGCUGCAGUAAUGCAUGAUGUCCUUGAUGCUAUGCCAGAGGGGAUCAAGCAAAAUAAAGCAAGAACCAUCUUACAGCAUCUUAGUGAAGCAUGGCGUUGUUGGAAGGCAAAUAUUCCUUGGAAGGUCCCGGGUUUGCCUGUUCCUAUUGAGAACAUGAUUCUCCGCUAUGUCAAAUCCAAAGCUGAUUGGUGGACAAAUGUUGCUCACUAC
rnacentral:misc_RNA from 1 species